UUCAAAGGUUUUUAGUGGGUUAAUCACAGCUGAACCUGCAUUUUAACACAUUCAGACUUAGAAACUUGCACUAUUUUAUUCAUACGUUCUCUCAAACAAAAUAAUAUUUCAUUACAGCAAAGGCCACAGAAUAUUUCAUUCUGUGCAGAAUAUUUCAUAGAGUGUAGAACAUAUCUACACUAUAAGAAACUUGAGGAUAAUUCAAAUUUACAAUUAUUCUCAACUUCUUGCACAGUGCCUGUUGCAGAGCAGCACCUCGACCAAUACUGUCAAUUAAUUAACUCAUAAAUGAAGGAAUCAAUAUUUUAAAUAAUCUGAGAUCAAUAAUUACCCCUAGGCUAGCUCUUGCCUAUUACCCAUCAUUCCCUUUAGCACAUUGGCACCAACUCUGAAGAAGUGCAAAUUGACCUAAUAUUGACCAUAGAAAAGCAGUAAAGAUAAAUUCAGCUUCCACAACAAAAAACGCAUUUGAAUUCCCCACUCUUGGAUUUCCAGGCAUCCUUCCAUUAGCCCCAGCUCUAAGAGGGUUCUACCCAACAUUUACUGCAGGUGUCCUGUCUUGUUGUAGUCCUAACAUGAAUCCAAGAUGCUCCACAGAGCACGGAAAGGCUCCUGUCCGAUCCCAGUGUCUGGGCUGGAAACAGAAGAGGCUUCUGCUACUUUGUCACACUGAAGAAUGAGGAGACAGCCAGAGCAAUGGACGAAGAUAGAGGCACUGAAGCCAACUGGGAAACUACCACAAUAAUCCAGGAUGCCGGUGACAUGAACUAAGGUGGUGAGUGGUGAGGGUGGUAAGAAGUGAUUGGGCCCUGGGUAUAAAUUUGAAGGUAGAGCUACCAGCUUUGCUGAAUUAUUAGAUAUGGAUUGUGAGAGAAAGAUCUCUAAGGUUCUUAGCCUGGGCACCUGGAAGAAAAGAGUCACCGUUUACUGAGAUUGAGUAGAAGGUGGAAGUAGGUUUGGGAUGAAGGAGCUCAGGAGUUCAGUUUUGGCUAUGUCAAGUUUGGGAUCCUAUUCAUCACCCAAGUAGCGAUGUUAAGAAGGCAAUUAGACAUAGGAUAUUGGAGUUCAGGAAAGACGUUCAGGCGGGGUAAAUAAAUAUAUGAGUUGCCAACAAAUAGUAAAUAUUUAAAGCCAUGAGACAAAUGCAUAGAAAAGAGGAAAGAUGAGGAGAGACUUAGAGAAUGGAGCCCUGGAGUAAUGGGAGGAAAUAAGGUAGGACCAGCAAAGAUCACAGAAAAGGAAUGGUCUUGGGAGGGAGAGGGAGAACCAGGGGGUACAGUAUCCUAAGAGCCAAGUACAGAAAGUGUUUCAAAGAAGACAGAUGAUCACUUGGGUUAAAUGCUGCUGAUAGAUCAGAUGAGAGGGGAAUGCAAAUUGACCAUGCAUUUAGCAGCUGGCAGGUCAUGGUCACCUUGACAAGAGCAAUUUUCUGUCAAGUAAGGGGGGUGAAAUUCUGACUAUGAUGGGUUCAAGAGAAAGUGAGACAGAAGGAAUUGGAGCAACUAAUAUCAAUCACUCUUUCAAGGCAUUUUGCUGUGAAGGAGAGCUGAGAAAGCCAUGAUCGUUUGAAAAAGCAAACACUUCUCUGCUCUAGCUAAAGAACCACCUGGAGGAAACUCACUGCCUUCUGAGAGCAUCAUUUUUACUUACAGGGUGAGAGGAUGAAUCAAGGCUGGCCAGACACAUUCAGAGGAUGUGCCUAUGUUCUGGAAACUUUGAAAACUACUCCUUUCACAUACUAGAAGCAUGGAAGAUCCAGCUGCCCUCUAAGGCCUCAAGUCAAUCGUCCCUUAUCCACCAAAAUGACUAAAUACCAUCUGACACUUUCCUUCUCUCCUGCUUGAGUCUGAAGACACAUUUGGAGUCUCUUGCCACCAGCAGAAUGACAACCCUUGUAGGUCUGUCGGGAAACCUGCAAGAAACCUGAGAUGGGAAAAGGUCAAGAACUGAAAACCAAUUGAAAAACCAUAUUGUGAGCAAACUUCUGUCUAAGGAGAAGGGAGAAAAAGGGAGGGCCGUGACCAGGGACAGACAGGAGCAAAGGCACCCCCAGCUCCCUCAAUUCCAGAGUGCUUGGGCAUCCUGCAGCAAUCUAGGAGCUCUUUGAUUGCCUCUUUUAAAUCUGCGUCAAGUGAUGCUGAGAACAUAUAUUCUUUGCUGAUAAAUGUUUCCCCUUUGAGCCUGGGGCCUACUUAACAGGUAUUUACUGGGACACGUGCAUGGAAAGAUGUGGAAGAUACAUUUUAGAUUUAGAUUGAAGGAGAGAAAGAGUCAUCGCCUAUAUUCCUAUCACUCACAUUCCAUCUAUCCACGUUCAUACAUAAAUCAUGGAGGAUACGCAGCUCCAGAGCCACCUUGCAUCAAAAUGGAGUCAGAUUAAAGGGUUCACCAGGUAGCACUAUAUACCUCAUUUAUGUGCCCUUAAAAAACUUAGGGAGAUUCAUUCAAGUAUGGUAUGGCUUAAAAUGACCAAGUAAAAUCUGAACCACAUGCUUUCAUUUAAAUACAGAUGGUCAGGUUUUGUUUAUGUAUACAGAGCCAACUGCUUAUACAAAGCAGUGCCCUAUACAUAUAAACCAGCAAAGCCAUUUUAGAACCCAGAGUUUGAAAGAGUCUAUAUAAAUGUAAAUUACCAACCAAAGGGAGCAUAAAAUCUAUGGAUGUGAAAACGAGGCUACUAUCUUUCCUCAUCCAGCUCCCAUUGGCCAGCAUGGGCUCACACAGUGUUCUUUCAUUUGGGGAGUCUCUGGAGCAUGGAUUUAGCUGGGUUUCUGUGCCAGCGCUUCAGCUGGCAGUGAUUGGGUGACCUGUGUUUCCUCGGUGGUUGUUUGUCAUUGUCAGGGGGGCUUCCAGAUUUUACAGAGUCACUGAGGUCUUCACACAUCUGACUUGUCAUCCCAGCACUAUUUUGAUCCCUUGGAUUCUCCAGCAGGCAUCUUCCAGGAAAAUUCUGGGAGUGUCUUGGCCCAAUAUUUCAGUCUAAUGGCUAGGAGUAAGCUAGCUUUAUCCAAGGCCAGAGCUGAGCUCUAGUUGGGGAUAAAAUGCUACUGAAAGCUGUAUUAACUCUUGUACGCCACUAAUGUGUUUCAUUUGGGACCCUGCAGUAGCCAUUCACUAAAUGGGAUUCUGAGGCAUGAAAAAAGCUAAAGUGAGCUGCUCCCAACUUGUCAUUCUCAACAAGGGAGGAUGUGGCUCACAAUGGGGGAGGGGAUUGGUUGAAUAAGAGGGAAUGUCUGCAGACUGCUUGGAGAUCCACGCAGGAAGAACCCAGAGAAGAGCAAUCUAGCUAAAUGAAAUUGUUUUCUUUCUUUCCAACCACGGUAUAUUAAUUGGGCACAAAUCGGUCCACUUAAUGCCAAUUGACAUGAAGCAAUUUCCCAUUUGAUGGCAAUUGAAAACCCAUGCUUGCUGCCCCAAACCUGCUUGAUUGUUCCAAACAGAUUUCCCAUCCUAAAGUGGAAAUGGAUUUAAUUUGAUCUCUUCAGUCUGUUCGCCAUUAUGUGUGAAACAGUGGUAUUAGUAGCCAGGAAAUCAGCAGCUACCUGAGCAGUGGAGUGUUCAAAAUGGAGGCAUUCCAGCUGCUAGUGAAAAUUCAAAGGAAAGAGUCAUGCUAUAGUUGUGAUGGCUAGAGACCUGGGAUAGCAUAGCUGUUCUUUGUUGUUGUUGCAGCUGUCUCAUUGUUUUGAUUUGUCUUUUUCUUUUUUUUUUCUUUGCUGUUUCCUUAAGACUAGAGAAGCUUAAAGCUAAGGAGAGUCCUAGACAGCUACCUUGUCCAGUUGUCACUUCAAUGAGGAAACCCAGGCCUAACGAAGUUUUGUGACCUGCCUCAAUAAUAAUCUGCCCACUCUUUCUCACUCCUAUGUCUUUUUUAUUCUCAUGCAUUCCUUGCUCUCACUUCCAAGAAUUCUAGCUCAGAGCUCUAUCAGUGGAGAGGUAAUGGAAAGAAUAUAUGGUCUUAUAACUGAAAGUCUUGAGUUCAAGGGAUGUACCUGAGUCAUGUGACUUCUCAGGGCUUUGGUUCCCUUAUCAAUGAAAAGGAAAUACAGAUCCAUGCUUCCCAGUGUUUUUGCAACAAUCGAAUGAAAUAACUUAUGUAAAAGCAGUUUACAAAUUACACAGGAUCAUGAGAUGUAAAACAUUAUCCUACCAAAGCCCAAAGCCCCUCCUAGACAGGAGACAGGCCAAAUGGGUCAAAGGUUGGAAGCCAGGCAAGAAACAAGCUUUGAUCAAGUGACUGUAAGAAUCACGAGAGUACCAGUAGUACUCUCCACUCAUACCUCAAAUCAGAGAAAGAUUAGGGAUUAAAAAGCUGAAAAUAUUUGCAGAUGUUUGGCAUGGCUGUGGUUAGCCUUUUGACUUUUGGAACAAAUAACAUCUAGUGAUAUUUGUUUCACUUGUUUUUCUUUUAACUAAGUUGUCAGCCUAUUAUUUGAAAACUUUUUCCAUUCUAAAGCUCUAUUUUGUACAGAGAUAUCUAAUCACUUAUCUGAACAAAGAUGCAAACAUGGCCAUAUGGCCUUUGCCCUGUCAGAGAAAUCAGUGAAAUCAGAAAAAUCAGAGAGGCUUAUCCUAUAUUCUACUGGUAAUAUACCCAAGUGUUUUAUAAAAGUGUUUAUAGAAAUAUGUGCCCUUGGUGUUUUCACAAGUACAAGCAUAAAUGAAACAAGAUAUAGGCAGAUCAUCAUAGAUGAAGCUCUGGGCUAGGAGACACAAAGUGUUGCUUCCUGGUAGCUGUGUGACCUAGGGCAAGUCACUUCACCUCUCUGAGCUUCUGAGAGAUGAACAGGGGUACAAAAUGGGGAUAUGACAAUAUCAACCCCAGGAUUAAGCGAGAUGACAUCAUCCAGGUCUCAGCUCAAAUACCGCCUGUUCAGAGAGGCUAUAGUGCAUGCUGUGGUGGGUCACACAGAUCCCCCCUAUGAGGACUGAAGCAUCAUUUGCCUAGCUGCUGUGAGUGUUGGAAGCUGGAUCCCCUUCAUAGAUUGCCCUAAGCUGCCCAUCUCGCCCAAAAUCUUCCCACCAAAGGCAGCACACAUACAAUAGUGGCAAAUAAGAGGGUCUAAAGGCCAACUCCCCAGCCCCAACUCAAGAUACACUGUAGGACUACCCCAGCUUCAAGGCUUUCUGUGGUGUUGGAGGCUGAGGUUUUGCUGUGACUAUGUAAUAGCCCAACUUCUGUUUCUGCCCAAUCCUAUUUCCUGUACAUAUGCUCCUAGACUUAUAACAGGGUUACAUCCUGAUAAACUCAUCACAAGUUGAAAAUAUCAAGUUAAAAAUGCAUUUAAUACUCCUAACCUACCAAACAUCAUAGCUUAGCCCAGCCUACCUUAAACAUGCUCAGAACGCUUACAUUAGCCUAUGGUCGGGCAAAAACAUGUAACACAAAGCCUAUUUUAUAACAAGGUGUUGAAUAUCUCAUGUAAUUUAUUGAAUACUACACUGAAAGUGAGAAACAGAAUGGUUGCAUGUGCACUCGUAGUGCAGUUUCUACUGAAUAUAUAUCACUUUCACACCAUCUUAAAGUCAAAAAAUUGUUAAGUUUAGCCAUCUUUUUUUUUUAAUGGGUAAUUUUCUUUUUUUUAUUAUUAUUAUACUUUAAGUUUUAGGGUACAUGUGCACAAUGUGCAGGUUAGUUACAUAUGUAUACAUGUGCCAUGCUGGUGUGCUGCACCCAUUAACUCAUCAUUUAGCAUUAGGUAUAUCUCCUAAAGCUAUCCCUCCCCCCUCCCCCCACGCCACAACAGUCCCCAGAGUGUGAUGUUCCCCUUCCUGUGUCCAUGUGUUCUCAUUGUUCGAUUCCCACCUAUGAGUGAGAAUAUGCGGUGUUUGGUUUUUUGUUCUUGUGAUAGUUUACUGAGAAUGAUGAUUUCCAAUUUCAUCCAUGUCCCUACAAAGGACAUGAACUCAUCAUUUUUUAUGGCUACAUAGUAUUCCAUGGUGUAUAUGUGCCACAUUUUCUUAAUCCAGUCUAUCUUUGUUGGACAUUUGGGUUGGUUCCAAGUCUUUGCUGUUGUGAAUAGUGCCACAAUAAACAUACGUGUGCAUGUGUCUUUAUAGCAGCAUGAUUUAUAGUCCUUUGGGUAUAUACCCAGUAAUGGGAUGGCUGGGUCAAAUGGUAUUUCUAGUUCUAGAUCCCUGAGGAAUCGCCACACUGACUUCCACAAGGGUUAAACUAGUUUACAGUCCCACCAACAGUGUAAAAGUGUUCCUAUUUCUCCACAUCCUCUCCAG
rnacentral:lncRNA from 1 species